rnacentral:rRNA from 1 species
UACGAAGGGGGCUAGCGUUGUUCGGAAUCACUGGGCGUAAAGGGCGCGUAGGCGGCUUUAUAAGUCGGGGGUGAAAGCCUGUGGCUCAACCACAGAAUUGCCUUCGAUACUGUAGAGCUUGAGACCGGAAGAGGUAAGUGGAACUGCGAGUGUAGAGGUGAAAUUCGUAGAUAUUCGCAAGACCACCAGGGGCGAAGGCGGCUUACUGGUCCGGUUCUGACGCUGAGGCGCGAAAGCGUGGGGAGCAAACAGG